rnacentral:tRNA from 2 species
GCCGAUGUGGCGGAAUUGGCAGACGCACCGCACUCAAAAUGCGGCGGAUAACUUCCAUGCCGGUUCGACUCCGGCCAUCGGCACCA